rnacentral:rRNA from 1 species
GACGAACGCUGGCGGCGUGCUUAACACAUGCAAGUCGAACGAGAAAGCCCUUCGGGGUAAGUACAGUGGCGAACGGGUGAGUAACACGUGGGCAACCUGCCCCAGAGAGCGGGACAACCCGGGGAAACCCGGGCUAAUACCGCAUGAUGCGUCUCCACUUAAGUGGAGCCGCCAAAUGGUAGCUUCGGCCUCCGCUCUGGGAUGGGCCCGCGCCGGAUUAGCUAGUUGGUUGGGGUAACGGCCCACCAAGGCGACGAUCCGUAGCUGGUCUGAGAGGACGAUCAGCCACACGGGGACUGAGACACGGCCCAGACUCCUACGGGAGGCAGCAGUGGGGAAUCUUGCGCAAUGGGCGAAAGCCUGACGCAGCAACGCCGCGUGGGGGAAGAAGGCCUUCGGGUUGUAAACCUCUUUCAGUAGGGACGAAGCUUCCGGGGUUAAUAGCCUACGGGGUGACGGUACCUACAGAAGAAGCCCCGGCUAACUACGUGCCAGCAGCCGCCGUAA